rnacentral:lncRNA from 1 species
AUAACGACCUCGAUAUACUAUUUAAACAUAUUAAAAAAAAACAUAUAAAUAAAAAAAUUCUAUAUUGAAAAUUGUACAUUCAAUAUUAAAUUUUAUAUUUUUGGUAUGAUUGACUAAAUGCUCCGGAGAUACUGUUUAGUACGGAAAAAAAAAUUAAAAUUGAAGGUAGCAGAAAUGGUUAGACUUCUACCAGAGUACUAAGAGAUAUCCAUGUCUCCUAAGCAGCUCAGAUAAAGAUUAUUGAAGGAACUUAUGAAGAAAAAAAAAAACUAAAAACAAAAACAUAUCUGUAAUAAGUUUAAUUAAAAAGAAACUCAAAUGGAGAGGUGUUCCUGAAAUCAAUAAAAUUGAAUUAGUUUUGGAUUCAGAUAUUUUUGUCAAAUAGUUUUGGUGGGUAAAAUUUUAUUUUUAAGAUGUAUAAAUAGGAGUAUCAAAGUUUGAACUUUGGUCCUGCAUAAUACAUAUAGGGUCUUGUUAACAUGUGCCCUAAGGGCACAUGUUAAGAUAUCCCAAUAUAGAAAAUCAACAUUUAAUGAUACAAGAAAUUUAAUGCUUCAAAAGUUAAAAUACACAAGUUAGCAUUUAAUAAUUUCCAUUUUUACUUCCUUAACAUGUGCCUUAAGGGCACAUGUUAACAUUCUCCAUACAUAUAAUAUUACUACUAUAAAUUAAAUUAUGCUCACGGGGAUUGGAUCGAGACCUUUUCUAUAAUCAACAAAUAAUUUAAAUUAAAUAGUCUUUGGUUGAACUUAAUUUUUUUUUUAUGAUAAUUUAAUAUUAUGAAGUCAUUUGACUUAUUAAUUUUUAAAAAAUUCUUAACAUAUAAAUAAGGUACUCAAAACUGUUGCAAAGUUCACUUGUCACACACAAAUCAUCAACGGAUUGUAACGCUUUCAACCGUCGCAAAGUGUAAUUUUAACUGUCGCAAAGUGCUUAUUUUCGUGUAGUGCACGACAAAAAACAAAUAAUACUAAUAACUAUAUUAGCUGUUUAAAAAAAAAAAAACAGUGAGAUACCUGUUUUUUUUUUAAAGGCUUACGGGAGAUACCUGUUAAUCUUUUUUAUAAGGAGUUGUACUGUCUUCUUCUAAGACUUCCCUUGAGUAUGAGUAAUUAAUACUCAAAUGAAGGAAAAUGAUACAAUAACCAAGCAAACAAAAGACUAAAAAACUA